AAUUAGUGGUUGUUGCAGUGUGUGAUGGAGAAUUGCCCACGUUGCAAAUGUGAUGAAUCAUGUGCUUGAGAGUUCUUUUGCAAUCAAUUUUAAUUUUACAAGUAUUUGAAAAUAAAUUGAAAAUCUUGCUCUUUCUCACAUAUUUCUCUCUAACUCUUAUCUUAUUUUAUGGCGAUUUUGCGAGGGAAAUUGAAGAACACCACAAGCAUCAAAUGAAGAAGACGAAGACACGUAAUUCCAACAAAAAGUUUGAUGCCAGAGAGAAAAGAGUAGCUAAAAAUAAUCGAAAGCGAAACACCUUCAAGACGACGCCUGUAGCAAUUUCAUCGUUAACGGCAAGCGAAACGAAAGUGAGAUGGCAGAAGACAAUGGCUGAAACUAAGAAUAAAGUUUAUAGGGAGAGAGAGAGUUAUCAUAGAGGAGUCUACAGGGAGGGAGGGAGAGAGCAAUGAAUUCUUACGCACAAAAAAUGUGGAAGAAGGAAAGUGAGAUCUUAGGGGCAAUUUAGGAAUAAUGAUUAAAUCAUUUAUGAUUUGCAGUUUUUGUAAAAUCAUGUAACAAAGUUCAAAAAUAUUGGAGCCUUUCCAAAAGUAAAAAAUAAAAAAAAAAAUAUUCUAAACAGUAAAACUAGCGAAUUUAAAAACGGA